CCUACGGGCGGCUGCAGUGAGGAAUAUUGGUCAAUGGGCGGAAGCCUGAACCAGCCAAGUAGCGUGCGGGAUGAAGGCCCUACGGGUCGUAAACCGCUUUUGCACGGGGAUAACACCCUCCACUUGUGGAGGUCUGCAGGUACCGUGCGAAUAAGGGCCGGCUAAUUCCGUGCCAGCAGCCGCGGUAAUACGGAAGGCCCGAGCGUUAUCCGGAGUCAUUGGGCUUAAAGGGAGCGUAGGCGGGCGUUCAAGUCAGCUGUAAAAUCGCGCGGCUCAACCGCGCCCCGCAGUUGAAACUGGACGCCUUGAGGUCACAACAGGCAGGCGGAAUUCGGGGUGUAGCGGUGAAAGGCAUAGAUAUCACGAGGAACCCCGAUGGGGAAGGCGGGCUGCCGGGGUGCGACUGACGCUGAGGCUCGAAGGUGCGGGUAGCAAACAGGAUUAGAUACCCUUGUAGUC
rnacentral:rRNA from 1 species